GGCGAUACUAUAAUAAUAUUGCGCACGUGAAACUCAGAUGCGAGAAAGAUUCUCGUUAUCACGAAUCGUUGUAACAGUCUGCCGCUCAUGUGCCCGUGUUAAUCCAUUAAAUCCAUAUGAUUGAUAACGGAGUUCUCUUGCCAAAAGUCCAUCGCGUGUGAACGAUUGCGUGCAAAACCGAACAAUAAUUGCGGACAGGACGACAACAUCAAACCGGGGAAAAACCGGCAUUUUUGUUUUUCAUCGCGUGACGAAUAUUAGGUAUUUUGUUUCGAUUUUCACAUUUUCUUUUUACGUAAAACCUUGAAUCGCGAUCUCGGUGGCUGGAUCGUUUCACUGGACCGGAAGCUCGCUCCGGACCCGACGACACUGGAUUUUGGCCCUUAAUGCUCGGGUGACACGAUGCCCAGCGAACUACGCCCGUGCCGCCGCCCCCGUGUCCGCCUGCUCGCCGUCGCAUCGUCGCACUGUCACCAUCGUUGAAUCGUAUCUCUAGAUCGCUGCGCAAUUUCCGUUUGCGGGGAUCCGGAAGUGUGCGUGUACCCAAGUAUGGUCAAGUUAUUUGACAUCCGGUCAAUAAAAUAGAGGGGAGAAAGUUUCUCCGCAACUAUUCCUAUGAGAACAAUAUCCAUCAAGAUCAAAUUUACAACUGAGAAACAAUUAAAAAAUACCUUUUUAAGUAUAUGAAAAUGUAAUUACUUAUAUGAACCUUAAGCAACGGUUCUAAGUAUUAUAGUAAAUUUUGUACAUUUACAUGUAAAUUGAACAUUUUUUUUUUAGUAGUUUGAAUAUUUUUUAGUUAAUUAAAAAUAAAAUGUAUUUUAAAUUAUAAUAUUAUAUUUAUUUCAAUCAUUUAGUCUAAAUAUCAUAAUUUUAAUUAAACUCAUUAUAUUCUCUGAUUGUUGUUAUUACUUGAAUAAAUUCUACAAACUUUAAAUA